rnacentral:lncRNA from 1 species
GUGGAAGGUCACAAUCAUGUUCUUUGUAGUCCUUCAAAGGUGCAUUUGCUACGCUCCCAUCGCAGUGUUUCAGUUGCAAAAAGAGCCUUGACUCAACAAUUCUCGGAAGCUAAUGUGCCAACUUGUCAGCAAAUGCGAUUAUUAGAAAUAGAAUAUGGUGGACCUGAACAUGUAGGUUGUACAGAAAGGGAUAUUAGAAAUCUUGAGCAAGAGUUACGAGAUGAACAUACGGGAGUUGAUGCUGAAACUUUGAUUGAGUUCUUUGAAUCUGAAAAAGAUAAGAAUCCUACAUAUUUCUUUGACUAUGAGACUGAUUCAAAUAAGAAGUUUAUGAGGUGCUUUUGGGCGGAUCCUAAAUCAAGGAGGCAAUAUAGCGUAUUUGGUGAUGUGGUUGUAUUUGAUUUCACAUAUAAUACCAAUAAAUACGGGAUGAUUUUUGCGCCCUUAGUAGGAGUUAAUCAUCAUCACCAAACAAUUGUUUUUGGUUGUGGGUUUUUAAGUGACGAGAAAACUGAAUCUUUCAUUUGGUUGCUUAAUAAGUGGAUGGAAGCCAUGCCAACAGGUGCUCCAAAAGUAAUAAUCACUGAUCAGGAUCCUGCUACGACAAAAGCUAUUGCACAAGUUUUGCCCUUUACAGUACACCGAUAUUGCUUGUGGCACAUCUUGAAUAAAUUCCCAG